rnacentral:piRNA from 1 species
GAUCAGAAACCUGGGGUGACUCGCCUG